GAUGAACGCUGGCGGCGUGCCUAAUACAUGCAAGUCGAGCGAACAGACGAGGCGCUUGCUCCUCUGACGUUAGCGGCGGACGGGUGAGUAACACGUGGAUAACCUACCUAUAAGACUGGGAUCACUUCGGGAAACCGGAGCUAAUACCGGAUAAGAUGUUGAACCGCAUGGUUCAAUAGUGAAAGACGGUUUUGCUGUCACUUAUAGAUGGUUCCGCGCCGCAUUAGCUAGUUGGUAAGGUAACGGCUUACCAAGGCUACGAUGCGUAGCCGACCUGAGAGGGUGAUCGGCCACACUGGAACUGAGACACGGUCCAGACUCCUACGGGAGGCAGCAGUAGGGAAUCUUCGGCAAUGGGCGAAAGCCUGACGGAGCAACGCCGCGUGAGUGAAGAAGGUCUUCGGAUCGUAAAACUCUGUUAUUAGGGAAGAACAAAUGUGUAAGUAACUAUGCACGUCUUGACGGUACCUAAUCAGAAAGCAACGGCUAACUACGUG
rnacentral:rRNA from 1 species